rnacentral:rRNA from 1 species
CGGGACACGUGGUAUCCUGUCUGAAUAUGGGGGGACCAUCCUCCAAGGCUAAAUACUCCUGACUGACCGAUAGUGAACCAGUACCGUGAGGGAAAGGCGAAAAGAACCCCGGCGAGGGGAGUGAAAAAGAACCUGAAACCGUGUACGUACAAGCAGUGGGAGCACGCUUAGGCGUGUGACUGCGUACCUUUUGUAUAAUGGGUCAGCGACUUAUAUUCUGUAGCAAGGUUAACCGAAUAGGGGAGCCGAAGGGAAACCGAGUCUUAACUGGGCGUUAAGUUGCAGGGUAUAGACCCGAAACCCGGUGAUCUAGCCAUGGGCAGGUUGAAGGUUGGGUAACACUAACUGGAGGACCGAACCGACUAAUGUUGAAAAAUUAGCGGAUGACUUGUGGCUGGGGGUGAAAGGCCAAUCAAACCGGGAGAUAGCUGGUUCUCCCCGAAAGCUAUUUAGGUAGCGCCUCGUGAAUUCAUCUCCGGGGGUAGAGCACUGUUUCGGCAAGGGGGUCAUCCCGACUUACCAACCCGAUGCAAACUGCGAAUACCGGAGAAUGUUAUCACGGGAGACACACGGCGGGUGCUAACGUCCGUCGUGAAGAGGGAAACAACCCAGACCGCCAGCUAAGGUCCCAAAGUCAUGGUUAAGUGGGAAACGAUGUGGGAAGGCCCAGACAGCCAGGAUGUUGGCUUAGAAGCAGCCAUCAUUUAAAGAAAGCGUAAUAGCUCACUGGUCGAGUCGGCCUGCGCGGAAGAUGUAACGGGGCUAAACCAUGCACCGAAGCUGCGGCAGCGACGCUGAUGCGUUGUUGGGUAGGGGAGCGUUCUGUAAGCCUGUGAAGGUGUGCUGUGAGGCAUGCUGGAGGUAUCAG